rnacentral:rRNA from 1 species
UGUGAGCUCGAUGAGUAGGGCGGGACACGUGGUAUCCUGUCUGAAUAUGGGGGGACCAUCCUCCAAGGCUAAAUACUCCUGACUGACCGAUAGUGAACCAGUACCGUGAGGGAAAGGCGAAAAGAACCCCGGCGAGGGGAGUGAAAAAGAACCUGAAACCGUGUACGUACAAGCAGUGGGAGCACGCUUAGGCGUGUGACUGCGUACCUUUUGUAUAAUGGGUCAGCGACUUAUAUUCUGUAGCAAGGUUAACCGAAUAGGGGAGCCGAAGGGAAACCGAGUCUUAACUGGGCGUUAAGUUGCAGGGUAUAGACCCGAAACCCGGUGAUCUAGCCAUGGGCAGGUUGAAGGUUGGGUAACACUAACUGGAGGACCGAACCGACUAAUGUUGAAAAAUUAGCGGAUGACUUGUGGCUGGGGGUGAAAGGCCAAUCAAACCGGGAGAUAGCUGGUUCUCCCCGAAAGCUAUUUAGGUAGCGCCUCGUGAAUUCAUCUCCGGGGGUAGAGCACUGUUUCGGCAAGGGGGUCAUCCCGACUUACCAACCCGAUGCAAACUGCGAAUACCGGAGAAUGUUAUCACGGGAGACACACGGCGGGUGCUAACGUCCGUCGUGAAGAGGGAAACAACCCAGACCGCCAGCUAAGGUCCCAAAGUCAUGGUUAAGUGGGAAACGAUGUGGGAAGGCCCAGACAGCCAGGAUGUUGGCUUAGAAGCAGCCAUCAUUUAAAGAAAGCGUAAUAGCUCACUGGUCGAGUCGGCCUGCGCGGAAGAUGUAACGGGGCUAAACCAUGCACCGAAGCUGCGGCAGCGACGCUUAUGCGUUGUUGGGUAGGGGAGCGUUCUGUAAGCCUGUGAAGGUGUACUGUGAGGUAUGCUGGAGGUAUCAGAAGUGCGAAUGCUGACAUAAGUAACGAUAAAGCGGGUGAAAAGCCCGCUCGCCGGAAGACCAAGGGUUCCUGUCCAACGUUAAUCGGGGCAGGGUGAGUCGACCCCUAAGGCGAGGCCGAAAGGCGUAGUCGAUGGGAAACAGGUUAAUAUUCCUGUACUUGGUGUUACUGCGAAGGGGGGACGGAGAAGGCUAUGUUGGCCGGGCGACGGUUGUCCCGGUUUAAGCGUGUAGGCUGGUUUUCCAGGCAAAUCCGGAAAAUCAAGGCUGAGGCGUGAUGACGAGGCACUACGGUGCUGAAGCAACAAAUGCCCUGCUUCCAGGAAAAGCCUCUAAGCAUCAGGUAACAUCAAAUCGUACCCCAAACCGACACAGGUGGUCAGGUAGAGAAUACCAAGGCGCUUGAGAGAACUCGGGUGAAGGAACUAGGCAAAAUGGUGCCGUAACUUCGGGAGAAGGCACGCUGAUAUGUAGGUGAAGUCCCUCGCGGAUGGAGCUGAAAUCAGUCGAAGAUACCAGCUGGCUGCAACUGUUUAUUAAAAACACAGCACUGUGCAAACACGAAAGUGGACGUAUACGGUGUGACGCCUGCCCGGUGCCGGAAGGUUAAUUGAUGGGGUUAGCGCAAGCGAAGCUCUUGAUCGAAGCCCCGGUAAACGGCGGCCGUAACUAUAACGGUCCUAAGGUAGCGAAAUUCCUUGUCGGGUAAGUUCCGACCUGCACGAAUGGCGUAAUGAUGGCCAGGCUGUCUCCACCCGAGACUCAGUGAAAUUGAACUCGCUGUGAAGAUGCAGUGUACCCGCGGCAAGACGGAAAGACCCCGUGAACCUUUACUAUAGCUUGACACUGAACAUUGAGCCUUGAUGUGUAGGAUAGGUGGGAGGCUUGGAAGUGUGGACGCCAGUCUGCAUGGAGCCGACCUUGAAAUACCACCCUUUAAUGUUUGAUGUUCUAACGUUGACCCGUAAUCCGGGUUGCGGACAGUGUCUGGUGGGUAGUUUGACUGGGGCGGUCUCCUCCUAAAGAGUAACGGAGGAGCACGAAGGUUGGCUAAUCCUGGUCGGACAUCAGGAGGUUAGUGCAAUGGCAUAAGCCAGCUUGACUGCGAGCGUGACGGCGCGAGCAGGUGCGAAAGCAGGUCAUAGUGAUCCGGUGGUUCUGAAUGGAAGGGCCAUCGCUCAACGGAUAAAAGGUACUCCGGGGAUAACAGGCUGAUACCGCCCAAGAGUUCAUAUCGACGGCGGUGUUUGGCACCUCGAUGUCGGCUCAUCACAUCCUGGGGCUGAAGUAGGUCCCAAGGGUAUGGCUGUUCGCCAUUUAAAGUGGUACGCGAGCUGGGUUUAGAACGUCGUGAGACAGUUCGGUCCCUAUCUGCCGUGGGCGCUGGAGAACUGAGGGGGGCUGCUCCUAGUACGAGAGGACCGGAGUGGACGCAUCACUGGUGUUCGGGUUGUCAUGCCAAUGGCACUGCCCGGUAGCUAAAUGCGGAAGAGAUAAGUGCUGAAAGCAUCUAAGCACGAAACUUGCCCCGAGAUGAGUUCUCCCUGACUCCUUGA